rnacentral:rRNA from 1 species
CCCUUAGAUGUUCUGGGCCGCACGCGUGCUACACUGAGUAAUUCUAUGGGUAAGGGAACGCUAGAGCAUUACCUAAUCUUGAAAUUUGCUCGUGAUGGGGAUCGACGGUUGCAAUUUUCCGUCGUGAACGAGGAAUACCUUGUAGGCGCAUGUCAUCAUCAUGCGCCGAAUACGUCCCUGCCCUUUGUACACACCGCCCGUCGCUCCUACCGAUUGAGUGAUCCGGUGAGGCUCUGGGACCUGGACGGAAAGAGCGUUUCGCUUGUUCUGUUUGGGAAACUUGGUCGAACCUUAUCAUUUAGAGGAAGGAGAAGUCGUAACA